AUUGAACGCUGGCGGCAUGCCUUACACAUGCAAGUCGAACGGCAGCACGGGAGCAAUCCUGGUGGCGAGUGGCGAACGGGUGAGUAAUGUAUCGGAACGUGCCCAGUCGUGGGGGAUAACGUAGCGAAAGCUACGCUAAUACCGCAUACGAUCUAUGGAUGAAAGCGGGGGAUCGCAAGACCUUGCGCGAUUGGAUCGGCCGAUAUCAGAUUAGGUAGUUGGUGGGGUAAAGGCUCACCAAGCCGACGAUCUGUAGCUGGUCUGAGAGGACGACCAGCCACACUGGGACUGAGACACGGCCCAGACUCCUACGGGAGGCAGCAGUGGGGAAUUUUGGACAAUGGACGCAAGCCUGAUCCAGCAAUGCCGCGUGCAGGAUGAAGGCCUUCGGGUUGUAAACUGCUUUUGUACGGAACGAAACGGCGAGCUCUAAUACAGUUUGCUAAUGACGGUACCGUAAGAAUAAGCACCGGCUAACUUCGUGCCAGCCGCCGCCGUAA
rnacentral:rRNA from 1 species